AUGGGAAGUUGGCGGAGGCCCGCCAGACCCUCCUCGCUCCCUCCAUCCCCUCGGGCCCUCCUCCGGUGGCUACCCCGUCACAACCCCGUAGGGCGGCUGGCCGCCCACCAGUGGUGGAGGCUGAGCCUCGGGGCCGCACCCGCUCUCGCACUGCCGCUCUCCGCACCCAAAGCGCCUCCCGCGUCCUGGGGUCAAGCAUCCCCCAAUGGUUUCCUAAUGCGUGCCUUAUUCUGGAACAUCCGCGGGUUCGGUCAUGACGGCCGACGCCGCCAACUCAUCGAGUACGUGCGCGAUGAGCAUAUUGACAUAGUGGCGAUUCAGGAAACCAUGCGCUCCGACUUCUCAUUGCCAGAGCUUGACAGGCUGAGCACCCACCUCUUUGCGUGGCACUGGCUCCCUUCUAGUGGGAACGCCGGCCAUUCGGGUGGCAUCCUUCUAGGUGUGAAGGAUGCCACCUUCGAGGUGGGGAGUAUGGACCGGGGCCAGUUCUUUGUUAGUAUGGAGCUCUAUGAACGAGCCCUGAACUUCAAAUGGGAGGUUAGCAUCGUCUAUGGCUCGGCUGACCACAGUAGAUCCGCGUCCUUCCUCGAGGAGCUUAACCGGAAGGUCUCUGCGGCCUCCCUGCCGGUGGUUGUCGGAGGCGAUUUUAACCUCCUCCGAUUCGCGGAAGACAAGAGCAAUGACCAUGUCAACUAUGCACGUAUGCAGAUGUUUAAUGACUGCAUUGCCGAUCUUGGUCUUCGCGAAAUAGAUAGGAUCGGUGCCAGGUUCACCUGGACCAAUCGGCAAGCCUCCCCGACCCAGUCCGUCCUGGACCGGGUCCUAGUCUCCCCGGAAUGGGACCUCCGCAGCCCUCUGGCCUCUCUUCGGGCUAUCACUCGGAUUGGCUCCGACCACGUCCCUCUUCUCUUGUCCUCCUCCGACGAGCGUCCUCCGAUCCCUCCCCGAUUUCGGUUUGAGACAUUCUAG
rnacentral:rRNA from 1 species